rnacentral:lncRNA from 1 species
AGACAGAAACGCAGCCCUCAGUGCAGCUGCCACAGGAAGUGUGCCGCUGAGCAGGGGACUGGUGGGGAGGGGGGUGCAAGGAUGGCCCUGCCCCCUCCAGGCGGGCGGUAGGAGCUGCCUUCUGGUGCUUGGAGGAAGUGACCUGCCGCUUCCCUUUCGGCCAGUGUGGGGUCCCGGUCAUCCUGUGUGGGGUGUUCUCGGUGGGCAGGAACAAACCCAGGCCUUCCCCUACUCUUGAGGGAGUUUGCUAGAGACCGAGCACCUGGGAGGGCGUCCUGGGGUCUCAGCUCUUGGGUGGCCUCGGAUGGUGAGGAUGGUGAGGCGGUCCGGCCUUUGACAGCAGGAGGUAGGAGUGGGUCGCUGACAAGCAGGGAUGAGCAGAAGAGGUGAGUGGAUUUCAGGUAGGCUGACCUGCUGAAGGGCUGAGGGUUCCCCGUCCCAGGGAUGAAAAGAGUGAAGGCACCUGAAAUUUCCUUUGGGGGAGACCGAGCACCGGCCCCUAUCCAUCUAACCCUCAAAUGACUCUGGGUCAGAGCGUUAGCGUGCUCUGCCUCCUGAAGCAAGUUGGAUGCGUGGCACAGCCAGAAACUCGAGCGGU